GACGAACGCUGGCGGCGUGCUUAACACAUGCAAGUCGAACGGUGACGAGGAGCUUGCUCCUCUGAUCAGUGGCGAACGGGUGAGUAACACGUGAGCAACCUGCCCCAGACUCUGGGAUAACAGUUGGAAACAGCUGCUAAUACCGGAUACGAGACGGAGAGGCAUCUCUACCGUCUGGAAAGUUUUUCGGUCUGGGAUGGACUCGCGGCCUAUCAGCUAGUUGGUAAGGUAAUGGCUCACCAAGGCGACGACGGGUAGCCGGCCUGAGAGGGCGACCGGCCACACUGGGACUGAGACACGGCCCAGACUCCUACGGGAGGCAGCAGUGGGGAAUAUUGCACAAUGGGCGAAAGCCUGAUGCAGCGACGCCGCGUGAGGGAUGACGGCCUUCGGGUUGUAAACCUCUUUCAGCAGGGAAGAAGCGAAAGUGACGGUACCUGCAGAAGAAGCACCGGCUAACUACGUG
rnacentral:rRNA from 1 species